AAAAAAUGAAACGAGUCGACACAGAGGUGGUACUAGAGAAAGUAUCACAAUUGUAUAUACCCUCUUAGGCAAAAACUCAACUCAGUGCUCUCUUGCCUCCAUAUCCCUUUGGGACUGGCCUACUGAUACUCACGCAGUACGGCUUCUUUGUCCCCAUAUGGAACAUGGAAGUAGAGUUCAGUUGAUAGAGACAUCCUAACAAUGCUUCUUCUAAGAGUAACCAAGUUCAUACUCUGAAGCAACAGCACUAGAACUUGCCAGCUCCUUCACAGAGAGCUGGGUUGCCCCAGAACCUCAUCGUCAUGGCAGCCAAGAAAAAAACAUUCAGAACACAGAGUUCAUACUGGCAACUGCCAUUUUAUGAAGCAGAAGGUGGAUUUCACAGGGGCCAGCAGCAGUUGGCAAGGGCACAAGAAAAGGCAAAAGUGCCAGCUGUUUUAUGCACCUUAUUUCUGCCUCUGUUUAAUAAGAGUUGAGACACUGAAAUCAAGCUACCGUAUAAGGACCAUGUGUGCCCAGAGAAGGGAUGGACAACUGGGGAGUGACAUGCAGCCCCAACCCCAUUUUGCAACCCCACCCAAGUUGAAGAAACUAACAGCAGCUAACUAGGGUACAUAGCCUUCAGGAAACAAACACACAAAAUAUGACACAAUAAACAAAGUGUACUUCCAGCCA
rnacentral:lncRNA from 1 species